rnacentral:rRNA from 1 species
GUCAGUCUUUGUCCAGGGGGCCGCCUUCGCCACCGGUAUUCCUCCAGAUCUCUACGCAUUUCACCGCUACACCUGGAAUUCUACCCCCCUCUACAAGACUCUAGCCUGCCAGUUUCGAAUGCAGUUCCCAGGUUGAGCCCGGGGAUUUCACAUCCGACUUGACAGACCGCCUGCGUGCGCUUUACGCCCAGUAAUUCCGAUUAACGCUUGCACCCUCCGUAUUACCGCGGCUGCUGGCACGGAGUUAGCCGGUGCUUCUUCUGCGGGUAACGUCAAUUGCUGAGGUUAUUAACCUCAACACCUUCCUCCCCGCUGAAAGUACUUUACAACCCGAAGGCCUUCUUCAUACACGCGGCAUGGCUGCAUCAGGCUUGCGCCCAUUGUGCAAUAUUCCCCACUGCUGCCUCCCGUAGGAGUCUGGACCGUGUCUCAGUUCCAGUGUGGCUGGUCAUCCUCUCAGAUCAGCUAGGGAUCGUCGCCUAGGUGAGCCGUUACCCCACCUACUAGCUAAUCCCAUCUGGGCACAUCUGAUGGCAAGAGGCCCGAAGGUCCCCCUCUUUGGUCUUGCGACGUUAUGCGGUAUUAGCUACCGUUUCCAGUAGUUAUCCCCCUCCAUCAGGCAGUUUCCCAGACAUUACUCACCCGUCCGCCGCUCG